ACGCUCGACACCUACGGAGGCAGCAGUGAGGAAUAUUGGUCAAUGGGCGCUAGCCUGAACCAGCCAAGUAGCGUGAAGGAUGAAGGCUCUAUGGGUCGUAAACUUCUUUUAUAUAAGAAUAAAGUGCAGUAUGUAUACUGUUUUGUAUGUAUUAUAUGAAUAAGGAUCGGCUAACUCCGUGCCAGCACGCCGGACGGUAAUCUGAGGCGGGCGUGGACGAAGGC
rnacentral:rRNA from 1 species